rnacentral:rRNA from 1 species
CCUACGGGCGGCAGCAGUGAGGAAUAUUGGUCAAUGGACGAGAGUCUGAACCAGCCAAGUAGCGUGAAGGAUGACUGCCCUAUGGGUUGUAAACUUCUUUUAUAUGGGAAUAAAAUGUUCCAUGUGUGGGAUUUUGUAUGUACCAUAUGAAUAAGGAUCGGCUAACUCCGUGCCAGCAGCCGCGGUAAUACGGAGGAUCCGAGCGUUAUCCGGAUUUAUUGGGUUUAAAGGGAGCGUAGGUGGAUUGUUAAGUCAGUUGUGAAAGUUUGCGGCUCAACCGUAAAAUUGCAGUUGAAACUGGCAGUCUUGAGUACAGUAGAGGUGGGCGGAAUUCGUGGUGUAGCGGUGAAAUGCUUAGAUAUCACGAAGAACUCCGAUUGCGAAGGCAGUUCACUGGACUGCAACUGACACUGAGGCUCGAAAGUGUGGGUAUCAAACAGGAUUAGAUACCCGAGUAGUC